GUGGCUGGCUGGCUGGUGAGCGCAGGGGCCCCGGUGUCCAGGAAGCUCCCUGCCGGUGUCUACGUCAGUAUGUAGAUGCCAGGCUGCUUCCCUUCUGGCACUGGUGGAGCACGGCAAGGCUUGGGGAAUGGAAUGGCAAUGUGAAACAAGAACCCGACCCAAGAGGCGCAGCACAGUCCCCAGCAUGCACAGACAAGCCAGCGCAGUGAGGUGCCGACGAACACACACAUACCUGACACUAUACUGCUGAGUUCUCGUGUCGUCUCCCGCCUGUAAGGUGUUAGAACAGAGAGCAGGUGAGAGACCCUGACAGCAAGGCAUAGGAUGAACACUGAUUACCUAAGGAUAAAAGGAUUGUGAAGGAUACAAAGACUGUGAUGUCAUGGCUUGGCUCAUCAUGGAAACACUGAGAAAGUGGCCAUGUGAUAUCUUUUCUCCUAGGAUCUCUGUCAGAACACUAAGAAAAAAUGGGAUUACGACACCUUUACUAAUCAGGCCAGAGAGGAUUUUGGUCACCCUUCACUGUCCUAUCACUACAAUAGGAAU